AGGACGAACGCUGGCGGCGUGCUUAACACAUGCAAGUCGAGCGGUAAGGCCUUUCGGGGUACACGAGCGGCGAACGGGUGAGUAACACGUGGGUGGUCUGCCCUGCACUCUGGGAUAAGCCUGGGAAACUGGGUCUAAUACCGGAUAUGACCUGCUCUCGCAUGGGGGUGGGUGGAAAGAUUUUAUCGGUGCAGGAUGGGGCCCGCGGCCUAUCAGCUUGUUGGUGGGGUAAUGGCCUACCAAGGCGACGACGGGUAGCCGACCUGAGAGGGUGACCGGCCACACUGGGACUGAGACACGGCCCAGACUCCUACGGGAGGCAGCAGUGGGAAUAUUGCACAAGUGGGACGAAAGCCUGAUGCAGCGACGCCGCGUGGAGGAUGAACGGUCCGUUUACGGGUUACGUAAACCCGUUCUUUACGAGCGUAGGACGAAGCGAC
rnacentral:rRNA from 1 species